rfam:Manacus vitellinus contig24748, whole genome shotgun sequence.
UUCUGUUGUCCUUCAUUCCACCGGAGUCUGUCUCAUACCUAAACCAGAUUUCAGUGGAGUGAAGCACAAGAGACA